rnacentral:rRNA from 1 species
UGCAGUCGAACGCAGUAGCAAUACUGAGUGGCAAACGGGUGAGUAUAAUGUGGGAAUCUGCCUUUUGGUUUGGAAUAACACGGGGAAACUUGUGCUAAUACCGAAUAAGCCUUUACAGGGAAAGUUUUAAUGCCGAAAGAUGAGCCCGCACUUGAUUAGCUAGUUGGUAAGGUAAAAGCUUACCAAGGCAACGAUCAAUAGCUGUUCUUAGAGGAAGACCAGCCACAUUGGGACUGAGACACGGCCCAGACUCCUACGGGAGGCAGCAGUGGGGAAUCUUGCACAAUGGGGGAAACCCUGAUGCAGCGAUGCCGCGUGAGUGAAGAAGGCCUUUGGGUUGUAAAACUCUUUCGUCGGGGAAGAAAAUGACUGUACCCGAAUAAGAAGGUCCGGCUAACUUCGUGCCAGCAGCCGCGGUAAUACGAAGGGACCUAGCGUAGUUCGGAAUUACUGGGCUUAAAGAGCUCGUAGGUGGUUAAAAAAGUUGAUGGUGAAAUCCCAAGGCUCAACCUUGGAACUGCCAUCAAAACUUUUUAGCUAGAGUAUGAUAGAGGAAAGCAGAAUUUCUAGUAUAGAGGUGAAAUUCGUAGAUAUUAGAAAGAAUACCAAUUGCGAAGGCAGCUUUCUGGAUCAUUACUGACACUGAGGAACGAAAGCAUGGGUAGCGAAGAGGAUUAGAUACCCUCGUAGUCCAUGCCGUAAACGAUGUGUGUUA